rnacentral:tRNA from 1 species
UCCCUGGAGGACUAGUGUUUAGACCUCGGCACUCUCACUGCUGUGGCUUGGGUUCAAUUCCAGGCCAGGGAA